rnacentral:rRNA from 1 species
CGAACGGGUGAGCAACGCGUGAGUAACCUGCCCUGGAGUGGGGGACAACAGUUGGAAACGACUGCUAAUACCGCAUAAGCCCACGAUCCGGCAUCGGAUUGAGGGAAAAGGAUUUAUUCGCUUCAGGAUGGACUCGCGUCCAAUUAGCUAGUUGGUGAGGUAACGGCCCACCAAGGCGACGAUUGGUAGCCGGACUGAGAGGUUGAACGGCCACAUUGGGACUGAGACACGGCCCAG